rnacentral:rRNA from 1 species
UUACGGGAGGCAGCAGUGGGGAAUAUUGCACAAUGGGCGAAAGCCUGAUGCAGCGACGCCGCGUGAAGGAUGAAGUAUUUCGGUAUGUAAACUUCUAUCAGCAGGGAAGAAAAUGACGGUACCUGACUAAGAAGCUCCGGCUAAAUACGUGCCAGCAGCCGCGGUAAUA